rnacentral:rRNA from 1 species
GACGAACGAGGGAGGAGGGAGGAAUACAUGCAAGUAGAACGCACAGUUUAUACCGUAGCUUGCUACACCAUAAACUGUGAGUUGCGAACGGGGGAGUAACGCGUAGGUAACCUGCCUGGUAGCGGGGGAUAACUAUUGGAAACGAUAGCUAAUACCGCAUAAUAUUUAUUAUUGCAUGAUAAUUGAUUGAAAGUUGCUAUUGCAUCACUACCAGAUGGACCUGCGUUGUAUUAGCUAGUAGGUGAGGUAAUGGCGCACCUAGGCGACGAGACAUAGCCGACCUGAUAGGGUGGUCGGCCACCCUGGGACUGAGACACGGCCCAGACUCCUACGGGAGGCAGCAGUAGGGAAACUUCGGCAAUGGGCGGAAGUCUGACCGAGCAACGCCGCGUGAGUGAAGAAGGUUUUCGGGUCGUAAAGCUCUGUUGUCAGAGAAGAACGGGUGUGAGAGUGGAAAGUUCACACUGUGACGGUAUCUUACCAGAAAGGAACGGCUCACUACGUC